rnacentral:rRNA from 1 species
AGAGUUUGAUCAUGGCUCAGAACGAACGCUGGCGGCGUGCCUAACACAUGCAAGUCGGACGCGAAAGCCUGGGCAACUGGGCGAGUAGAGUGGCGCACGGGUGAGUAAUACGUGGGUAACCUACCCUCGAGUGGGGAAUAACUCCUCGAAAGGGGAGCUAAUACCGCAUAAGACCACGAUCCCUUUGGGGAUUGCGGUCAAAGGUGGCCUCAUCAGGCAGAGCGUUUGGGUGCCUGCUUCGGAUCAGAAACAGGCACCCAAACGUUUUGCCUAGUGAAGCUGCCGCUUGAGGAGGGGCUCGCGGCCCAUCAGCUAGUUGGUAGGGUAACGGCCUACCAAGGCGACGACGGGUAGCUGGUCUGAGAGGACGACCAGCCACACGGGAAUUGAGAUACGGUCCCGACUCCUACGGGAGGCAGCAGUCGGGAAUCUUGCGCAAUGGGCGAAAGCCUGACGCAGCAACACCGUGUGGGCGACGAAGGCCUUCGGGUCGUAAAGCCCUGUUGUUGGGGACGAAGGGCGAAGGGUUAAUAGCCCCUAGUCUGACGGUACCCUUCGAGGAAGCCCCGGCUAACUACGUGCCAGCAGCCGCGGUAAUACGUAGGGGGCGAGCGUUGUCCGGAAUUAUUGGGCGUAAAGAGCGUGUAGGCGGUUCGGUAAGUCUGCCGUGAAACCCCGGGGCUCAACCCCGGGCGUGCGGUGGAUACUGCCGGGCUAGAGGGUGGUAGAGGCGAGUGGAAUUCCCGGUGUAGCGGUGAAAUGCGCAGAUAUCGGGAGGAACACCAGUAGCGAAGGCGGCUCGCUGGGCCAUUCCUGACGCUGAGACGCGAAAGCUAGGGGAGCGAACAGGAUUAGAUACCCCCGUAGUCC